AGCUAACUGCUGCCUUGAAUUCCUGGGGUGAAGAGAUCCUCCUGCCUCAGCCUCUGAAGUAGCUGGGACUACCAGCGUGCACCAUCACACUCAGCUAAAGGCCAUUAAUUUCGGCCUGCUGAAGCUGUGAGAAAGCUCAGACUUCCAUCCCUACAUUGUUGAGAACUGGCAAUGUUACAAAGAAGAAACCCCUCAAGACUAUCCGACCAAACAUUUCGUCUCUGAGAAAUGUUCACUCACCCCAGGGUGUGGAACUGA
rnacentral:lncRNA from 1 species